CGCCACCGUAACCCCAUUUUCAACAGCCACGCAUACAAACGAACUAACCAAAGUAAAUUAGCGACUGCCUGCCACCUACACGCAAGCCCCAUAGGCGCUCUCUUCACCUCAGACGUGGUGCCUUCAUCAGCUUUUCUCUCUUUUUUCCACUUUCUCUCGUGGUUGGUUGUGAUCUUAAUCCCGAUUGUUUUUGGCCAGGCUAAGCGAUCGCGCACCUAUACGGUUGUCUUCUUGUGUGCAUGUAUGUGUGCGCGCGCUUCUUCAAGAGACAAAAGACAAACAAAGAGAGAAAAAUCUGCAGCGGCAGCUCCGUGAUGGGUUGUGCCUUCGCGCACGCGUACGUGUCUCAGCAGUCUUGACCCAAACGAAAAACGGCCUCGAUCUCUCAGCUCCGCGUCUUCAGCUCGCCAUCUGCAACGUGCUUUGGACGUGGUUCUCGCUUGCUGUUCUCGUACCGUGCUUCCCCGUGUGCGCGUGCGAGUAUCCGUAGCGGUCUGCGUAGCUCCGUAGCCGAGUGCUUCAGCUGCGGCUUCCUCUGCGUCUCGCAUCGCAGCUUCUUUUCCUCUUCGUCUGUUGCGUGCAACUUGACCUCAGCCACCAUGUCUGGCAAGAAGAAGGCGGCGGAGGCAACCGUGGACCUGGCCACCCUGGCGGAGCCAGGCUUCUGGAGGCAACGCGUCGAAAUCUUCGAGCAGCUAUGGCAGCAGCAGCAGAACCGCUAUGAGUCGAUGAAGGCCCCGAUCAAGGUGAGCCUCCCGGAUGGAAAGGUGAUGGACGCCGAGAGCUGGGUUACGUGCCCGCUGGACAUCGCAAAGCGCCUGUCCAACUCGCUGCCAGACAAGGUCAUUGUGGCCCGCGUGAACGAGGCGCUGUGGGACCUGACGCGGCCGUUCGAGGCUGACUGUCAACUGGAGCUGCUGGACUGGGACGACAAGGAUGCGCGUGAGGUGUUCUGGCACAGCUCCUCGCACGUGCUCGGCUACGCGCUCGAGCGCAUCUUCGACACGAAGCUCUCCGUCGGCCCGGCGCUGGAGGAGGGCGGUUUCUUUUACGAGGGUCUCACCAAUCGCCCGGUGUCGGAGUCCGACUACAAGGCGAUCGAGUCGGCCAUGCAGGAGCUGGUGAAGCAGAAGAUGCCAUACCAGCGUCUCGAAGUGUCGAAGGAGGACGCCCUGAGACUCUUCGGCUACACGGAGUUCAAGAGCAAGAUCCUGGCAAGCAAGGUGCCGGACGGAGGCUCGUGCACCGUGUACCGGUGCGGUAUGCUGAUUGACCCGUGCCGUGGUCCCCACCUCCCGGACACGGGCCGCGUCAAGGCCUUUGCUGUGACCAAGAACUCCUCCUCUUACUUUGAGGGCAAGGCCGAGAACGAGGUGUUGCAGCGCGUGUACGGCAUUUCGUUUCCGAAGAACCCCAUGCUGACGGAGUGGAAGACGAUCCAGGAGGAGGCCGCGAAGCGCGACCACCGCGUAAUUGGCCGCCAGCAGAACCUCUUCAACUUCCACGAGGUCUCACCUGGCAGCGCCUUCUGGCUGCCGCACGGCGCCCGGAUCUACAACACUCUCGUAGAAUUCCUGCGCAAGAAGUAUCGCCGCUGCGGCUUUCAGGAGGUCAUCUCGCCGAACAUGUACUCCUCCAAACUUUGGAUGGUGUCGGGCCACUGGGAGAAGUACGCCGAUAACAUGUUCUGCACCAAGUGCGAGAAGGAGGACUUUGGUCUGAAGCCGAUGAACUGCCCGGGCCACUGCAUCAUGUUCGCGUCGCAGCCGCACUCGUACAAGGAGCUGCCGAUUCGCUACGCCGACUUUGGCGUGCUGCACCGGAACGAGCUGAGCGGUGCCUUGACGGGGCUGACCCGCGUGCGCCGCUUCCAGCAGGACGAUGCACACAUCUUCUGCCGCAUGGACCAGAUCACAGAUGAGAUGGAGGGCCAGAUGCAGUUCCUCAGCGACGUUUACGGCGUGCUGGGCUUCAAGUUCUACUUUUACCACUCCACCCGCCCCGCGAACAAGCUCGGCUCUGACGCGCUCUGGGACCAGUCCGAAUCGUAUCUGCGCACCGCGCUCAACCGGUUCUGCGGCAUUCCGGAGGAGCUGCCCGAUCCGUUGCACCCGGACCAGCGCUUUCACUACGACGGCAAGCCGGACUCGGUCAAGAAGAUGAAGGCGCUCAUGAAGAAGGCGGAGCGCUGCGAGGACCCGAACGCGUGGAAGGGCCCGACCAACGGCGGCGAUGGCUGGAUCGAGAACGCUGGGGACGGCGCCUUCUACGGCCCCAAGAUCGACAUCGUCGUCGAGGACGCGCUGCGCCGCCGCCACCAGUGCGCCACGAUCCAGUUGGACUUCAACCUGCCGAGCCGCUUCGGCCUCAAGUACACCCUUCCCGCCGCAGAGAAGGACGAGACGACGGUGAGCCCAACGGAGAAGCAGAAGCAUGCCGACCCUGCCCUGACCGCGUCGUCGCCGGCCGUGGAGGAUUGCGUGAGCAAACCGAAGCCCGGCACGUACGAGGCUGCUGUGCGUGACCUUGGCAUCGACCUCGAGCUGGACGCCAACCAGGCCCGCCCCGUCAUGAUCCACCGCGCCAUUCUCGGUUCCUUGGAGCGCUCGAUCGCCAUUCUGUGCGAGCACUUUGGCGGCGACUGGCCCUUCUGGCUGAGCCCCCGCCAAGUGAUGGUGGUGCCUGUUUCGGCCUCCAACUACGAGUAUUCACAGCAGGUGCGCGACACGAUGCACGAUGCCGGCUUCCACGCGGACGUCGACAACGGUGCCGCCACGCUGGACAAGAAGAUCCGCAAUGCGGAAAAGGCGCGCUACAACUUUAUCCUUGUCGUGGGCCAGAAGGAGCAGGACGCGACCGCCGUCAACAUCCGCGCGCGCGGGGAGAAGAGACUGGGCAACAAGUCACUCGUGGAGGCGGUGCAGUGGCUCAAGGAGCUGGCGGACACACAUAACCGGGAGUACUAGGCCACUCUGCUAAUGACAAAUAGGCAGGGCUAUACAGGGAUGCGGGGGUGCAUGUGCGCAUGCUGGUGUGCUUGCGGGUGCUUGAGUGGGUCGGUUACAUAUGUGAUUGUGAGAAACGCGUGGGGCUGCGGGUCGUGAGUAGUGGGAGAGAUUGUAGGCGGAGGAUGGAGGUGCUAGAGCGGAACGAAGAACUUGUGCGAGACGCGUGUGUGUGUGGGGAGGGAGUACAUGCACUUGGAAAUUUAUGACUUUUGUCUUGUGUGCUCGCUACGAGAUUCGUAUUCGUGGGGUUGUCUCUUCACCCGCUCUUUUUCUUUUCCCAUUUUCGUUCUUCUGAUUUUCGCUUCUUUUUCUCCCAGCACAGUUGACCGUUGCCUCCUACGUGUGGUAUCUCUCUCUCCGCCUUUGUCUUACUCUUGCCUCCCUCCCCCAAAAAAGAAAAAAAGUCAUCCUGCAUGUUUGCCAGUACUGAUUUUGCAUGGGCACCAGCGAAUGAACGGUCACGGUGGAGUUGUGCUCCCCUCGAAAUAACCUCGAAUAAGACGGAAGAUGAAAGUGUGGAGGCGCUUCGCGUCGCAACGCGACGAGAGCGCGGGUGGUCUUUCGUCUCUGGUGUUUAUUUUGCUGUUUGCUCGUGUGGUCUGUCUGUCUGUCUGUCUGCCUGCCUGUGCCUAUGUGCAUCUCUCUAUGACUUCGACGUUUCUCCCCCCUCCUCCUUUGCUGGAGGUGGCUUGCUCGAGCGCUUGUGUGCGCGUUGGUCUCUGUUCUCGCUUUGUGUGCGUUUUCUUCGGUUGCGGCUCUCUACGUGUUGCCGUUGCCCGCCUGCGCCAUGGGCGUAUAUGUCGUCUUUGUUUUUUUUUUGUAAUGGUUCGCAUACCUCUUCCGUUCCUUGUAUUGGUGCUUCCACCCCCCUCACCUCACUCCCCCUUGCUGUGUGCUCUUUAACAAUGGCGUAAAGGCUGAGCGAUCACAGCAGCAAGACGAAGAGGAGCCCGGAGGACGGAAGACGAAGGCAGAGGAAACGAAAAGGCUUGACAAAGACGAAGUCAUGCGCUUCUCUUGGUGCUGCCUCUGCCUCUUUCUUUUCUUCAGCUACUCCGAACACAGGCAUCUGAUCAGUGGACUCGCGGGUAUGCGCGCGAGCCCUUUUCUCUGUCGCUCUUUUGUUGUUAAGAGGGCAUGCUGAUGCAAGCUGUGUGACAGCCAUGUGCACCGCUGAUCUAUC
rnacentral:misc_RNA from 1 species